rnacentral:rRNA from 1 species
UCUUAGGAUUGUAAAAUUCUUUCACCGGGGACGAUAAUGACGGUACCCGGAGAAGAAGCCCCGGCUAACUUCGUGCCAGCAGCCGCGGUAAUACGAAGGGGGCUAGCGUUGCUCGGAAUUACUGGGCGUAAAGGGAGCGUAGGCGGAUAGUUUAGUCAGAGGUGAAAGCCCAGGGCUCAACCUUGGAAUUGCCUUUGAUACUGGCUAUCUUGAGUAUGGGAGAGGUUAGCGGAACUCCGAGUGUAGAGGUGAAAUUCGUAGAUAUUCGGAAGAACACCAGUGGCGAAGGCGGCUAACUGGCCCAUUACUGACGCUGAGGCUCGAAAGCGUGGGGAGCAAACAGGAUUAGAUACCCUGGUAGUCCACGCCGUAAACGAUGAGUGCUAGUUGUCGGCAUGCAUGCAUGUCGGUGACGCAGCUAACGCAUUAAGCACUCCGCCUGGGGAGUA